rnacentral:rRNA from 1 species
CACGUAGGCGCGAGCGUUGUCCGGAAUUAUUGGGCGUAAAGAGCUCGUAGGCGGCCUGUUGCGUCCGCUGUGAAAGCCCGGGGCUUAACCCCGGGUCGCAGUGGAUACGGGCAGGCUAGAGGUAGGUAGGGGAGAAUGGAAUUCCCGGUGUAGCGGUGAAAUGCGCAGAUAUCGGGAGGAACACCGGUGGCGAAGGCGGUUCUCUGGGCCUUACCUGACGCUGAGGAGCGAAAGCGUGGGGAGCGAACAGG